UAAGCGUGUGAUGAAAUUUCGGGGGCUCAACCUCGAAACUGUUACGCGAACUGCUGAGCUAGAGUAUAUGAGGGGAAGCUGGAAUUCCUGGUGUAGGAGUGGAAUCCGUAGAUAUCAGGAGGAACACCAAUGGCGUAGGCAGGCUUCUGGCAUAUUACUGACGCUAAGGCACGAAAGCGUGGGGAGCGAACGGGAUUAGAUACCCCGGUAGUCCACGCCGUAAACGAUGGAUGCUA
rnacentral:rRNA from 1 species